CGAAAUAUAGCAUAUACAAUGCUUUUUACUUACACUAAAAAUAAAGUUUUAAUACUUACUUCGC
rnacentral:tRNA from 1 species